AGAUAAGAGACGCAGACGUGUCAAGGUAAGACCAAACGGGAAAGAUAAUGGGGUUUAUGAG
rnacentral:sRNA from 1 species